rnacentral:tRNA from 1 species
GGAAAGAUGGCUGAGAGGCUUAAAGCGCCGGUUUGGAAGGCCGGUUCUCUAAUGAGAACGCGGGUUCGAAUCCCGCUCUUUCC